ACUACAGACCGGGAUAUCGCGGGCUUUUUAUAAGCACGAGGAAAGUCCGGACAGCACAGGGCAGCUCACCACCUAACGGGUGGGGGCCGUUUCCGGAAGGAGCCGGCUACAGCAAGUGCCACAGAAAAUAACCACCCGGUUGUGUAUACGGCCGGGUACGGGUGAAAACGUAGGGUAAAAGCCUACGGCGGCGGCUGGCAACAACCGUCUGCGGGUAAACCUUGGGUGCUGAAAUGCCAAAUAGGCAUGCGUCCUGAUUUCGGUCCGGAGCGGGCGGCCCGUCCGAUGCAUGUGGGUUGGCAGCUACAGGCGGCGCGUGAGCGUCUCCGCAGAUAAAUGAUAUCCGGUCCCGUCUGGGAUCACAGAAUCCGGCUUACAGGUCUGUAGUGAUU
rnacentral:RNase_P_RNA from 1 species